AAAUUUCAUGUAUUUUAUAGCUUUUACAUACAGUUCUUCUGAAUUCCACUGGAGCAAAUUACGCUCAAUUUUUUUUAUUAUCAAACUAAAUCAAUCCGACCAUUUAUGAAAGGAUGAAUAAUGUAAGACAGUUUAUGAUUAAAAAAAAAACAGUUAUUGGUGAGUUAGUGAAUAAAACAGAGAUAUUGAAACGAUUUUUUUUUUAAUUCAAUAUAUAAAAUGCGCUUACGACACUUUAAAAAUAUUUUCUCUGAUACAGGUAUGGUUCCAUAGUUUUAUAUUUAGAUGAGUUUAAUCGUCAUUAGUAGUGCUUUAGUGAUUACUUGGCCUGACAUGUCCAAUAUCUUACAGAACGGACUGUUAGAGUCUUAUAUCUUACUUAAAACAUUGUUUAACAUGUCAACAAAAGGCAAAAAAAAAGCAACCAAAUGCAAAUUGUUGUUAAGAUUUUGUUCUUCAAGUGUGUAAAUAGUUUUGUGGAUAAACUUUAUUAUGAAUUAUCCUACAUGUUGGUCACUUUAAACAGUAGCUCAAUUUCAAAUAAUAAACAAAAAUAAAGUAUAGUUGAAGGUUAGCAACAUGUAUUGCUAAAUGUACAUGUAGACACAGUGUAUGCGUAUCACAUGUAUAAUGCUUUUUGCAUGCGCGAGUACUACUUUAUAUAUUUUCUGUGAAUACCUUCACAUGUGUUUGGUGUUUCAAAUUGAUAAAGACGAUGGAAGUAUAUUCUUAAUGCAAAACAACGAAGAAAGUGAUGUCGUAAUUAGUGAUUGUGUUGUUAUAAAUUUUGGAUUAGGAUCUAAUGGGUAUUCAGAUAUAUUCGAUUUCAGUGCGGACAACGAAGAGGAUAUAGUUAUAACAGCUAAUAAUGGCAAGUUUUAUAUAUAGAUUUUAAACUGUAGUUAUCUCCUAUUACUUCCUUAUUUUUUCAAGGGUUUUAUUUCUCAUUAGGUGAAUGACAAAAAAGAAAAACAUGUGAAGACAGGUCACGUUGAUGAAAAAGUUUCAAUCAAUUCAUUUCAAAUAUAACACUAUAAAAUAAAAUGAAUAUGCACAAAUAAAGAGAUAACAAGCGUGCAAUCAAUUUAAAUUAUUUUGUUGUUCAUCGGAAUUACCCAUCUUAUAGUAAUUUAAUGAAUUUUAAGAAAAUUAAGAUUCAAAUAUUGUAUCUUUUAAUUUAAAAAUGAAUUAAUUUAGUUAUAAUAUAUAAACUCAUCGCCAUGAAUUGUCGGGAGAUCAAUAAAUUGAUCAGACCUAUUCACCAACUAUACAUGAAAAAAAUAUAUAUUCACAAUUUUCCCGUAUGACAGUAUGAUACAGGCCCCUUCUUUCCUUCCUCGUUCACCAAAACUUAUCUCGACUCGGUGGUUGUCUUGCAUGAGACGGUUAUUGUAAACCCAAACGGUACCACCUGAAUAUCCCCCUGUUUACUGUUUUUUUUCUGCAAGGUCGUGUUGCUCUUAUUUUUGUUUGUUUGCGUAUUAAUGUCCCCUGUGUCCUUUCAUGUUACUGGAACAUAAUUUUGUCUCUCGAUUUCCCUUUACAAAUGAUGCUUUCUUUUUUCUUGCAAAAGAAAGCAUUGUAGGUGUACAUAUCGUUGUUUCUGUGCUUAAUGUAUAAUUAUUGCAUUCAGUCAAUUUUACCUAUAAGAUAUAAACUAAAGGAAAGUGUCUGAGACUGUUCGAAAAGUACAUUGGAAAGAAACAAAUGUAAUUCGUAUUUUGAUGUUAUAUAAAGUAAAACUACUUUUAUUAAUCCCCCUUUUCAAUCAAUUCAAUGCAGGAAAGGGUUUCAUGUUCAAAUUUAUAUCAAACUGUCUCAAACUUAUUUAACAAACAUAUGAUUAAAUCUAGCACCUACCUUUAUCUAGUUUCAAGAGAGGACAUCGGUUUAAAUACAAAAAAACGAUCACUACGAACAAAGUGCAAAUCGGACACAUGAUUGAUUUGUUUAACAGAUAACCUGCGGUCACGUGUUUCUUUAUUCAGCUUUCCAUAUUCAUUGUCGUUGAUAAGCGAAAUUUUGCAUUAUAUUUCUAUACAGGCAAUGAUAUCCGAUUAAAAAAAUCAUAAAAGAACUAUUACAGUCCCCUUGUUCAUGAAGCAAGAUCUCGAUUUGUCCUUUGUACACAGAGUGUGGUUUAGGUUGUAAAUCAAAUUCUUGAUUAGCUAUUUUGUACAAGGAACAAUAUGUGGUUUGCACAGCAACACUUGGUAAAACAUUUACUUCAGAUGAACCAUUUAAUCUUGAUUAUGAAACAUGUAAUACAAUUGUUUUACUUGUGGUCCUUGAAUUGCGACAUGAUCUAUCAAGCAUUAGAAGCAUUAUUUGAUUUUUUCAUUUUAAUUGUAGCUGAAAUUGAUGUUAGGAAGAAUGAGAGCAACACCAUAGGUCAAUGUUUAUAUCCUAAACGGACGAGGAUAAUCUUUUGCAACAAUAAAUACCUAAAAGCAACAAAAAACAAAACUUACAACGAGCAUUCUCAACCAAAUUGGUGCUAAAAGAGAUAACCCAAAACAUGAGAAAAUGGCUGUGGAAUAAGUAUUGGCAGUAUUAAAAUCAAUUUGAGAGUACUUUUUUUCACAAGAAACCGUCUUGUUGAGUGACAAAGUUAUUGUAUUGGAAAGUGACUUUAAUAAAAUGAUUUUGUCUAAUUGUCAUUUAUUCAGCUGUCCAAUAUUUCUAAGAAAGAGGAGGGUUAUUCUUAAAAAAAAUUCGACAGAUAAAGGUAGCAUAGUGGUUUCUUACAGGUAAAUGAUAGUCCAAUCACUGAAAUCAAGAACGGGUACAACAAUAGAAAGACGUCACAAAAAUGUUUUAAGAGAUUGUGUAGUGGUUACAUCAUGUUAUAAAUUAGACUCGUCAUGGAUAAAUAUUCGUACGAAUGAUAAAGAUAAUGAUCAUAUUUUGUGUGAAUACCAGUGUAAACAAACUCUUGCACGUUAUCGGUAUUAUGGAACAUCCGACAAGGUGUGCUAUUGUCGACUCAAGGAACUGUCUGUUUCUGACAAAAUGCUGGAUAAUAAGUGUACUAUACAAUGCCAAGGUAACCGGACGGAAGAGUGUGAAGGGACACAUAACAAGCUUAUAAAUGUCGCAGAAAUAGAUCGACCACAGCACACAGUAACUGCUUAAGUUACACAAACUACUAAUAUAACGCCUAUGGCUGUAGGAGAACCAUUUACUUCAACCUUCAUGCAGAUGAUAAGCACCGACACAUCUCCAGCAACAGUAACAAACAGUACGUCUUUAAAUACGAGAAAAUCAAUGACUUCGACUUCUGAAAAUACACAAACAUCUAUAUCAACUGAUUUUACUGAGACCGUAACACAUGCAUCAACAGGAACGCGACCACGGAAACUGUUAUGUAAAUGUCCAAAGAGGUAAAUAAAUACAAAAUGGCACUUUCUUGAUGGAAAGAAAAUAACAGAUGCUGAAGUAAAGGAAAUGGUUCUCGAAGAUUUCAACAAGAACAUAAAAUUCGAGAUCUCAGUUGACAAGAAAACUGUAUCAAAGGAGGUACGAAAGAAAAAAUCCUCGGUAAACAAAAGAAAAUCUGCACAAUCUAUAGGAUGGGGAUGCAUUGUUUUUCUCAUUCUUCCAAUGGUUUUCUUGAUCGCCAUAGAUAUACUCAACUGUUGCAUUCACUUCCGAAUACGCUUUGGUCAAAGGAAACGGAAACGAAACCGAAUUACGGCAAUUUCUGUUAUCCAAGAUCACGAAGAUAGUGAACAUCCUCCGAAGGAAAAUGUCGAUAACGCCGAGGAAUUUUAUGCAAGUAGAUGUGGCAAUAAUUUUCAUCCUGACGAAAUGAAACGUGAAACGUAUCGAAGAAGAAGGGACGACAACUAUCAGCAAAGCAGAGAUGAAUGGUUGCAGUACAUAUAGUUUUAACUAUCCUUAUAACAUUUGAAACUGUGCUCAUGUGAAUGAUUUCUAAAGAAAACUAUUGUUUUUUCUGUCUGAUAUCGUUAACAGUCGUGCGAAUGUUCAUCACACAAUUAUCUAAAAAAGUCUCUACGAACUUAAAUGAUUGUUAGUUAAAGUAAAUGGCAUGUUUUGUUAUCCCGUUUCUUUUCUCCGUUAUCUAGCCGUACAACGAUUGUAUUGACCGGGAAAAAUAUUUUAAAACGGAUGAAAAUUUAUAAUUGUAAGCAGCUUUUAAGCUUUAGAUGCAACAUCCUAUUGAUAUAUAUCGUUUACCAUUACAUAGGAUUCUUCUUUUCUCAAAAUACUUGUGUCAUAUUAACAACCAAUGCGUUAUAGUUAUGAUAUCUAAGUUUAUUGCUGCAAUAACCUUUACAUCUUUACCUGUACGUGCACUUAGAAAACACGCGUUUACUCUUCCCGUUAACUAUUUGUGGAAAUUAUAGGAUACUUUUUUUUUCUUGUUAGACAUUUUUUUUAUUUUCAAAGUUUGAAUCUAAAACCACAUUUUUUUAAAAGUACGUUCUAUCAGCAUGAUCAGAGUCUAAUGAGCUAUGUUAAUCUUGAUUUUUUAAAGGGUUUAUUCAUAUGUUGCAAAUGAAUAAAGUUUGGCUAAAAAAAUAUUUUCAUGAAUUAUUGGAUAAUUAAAAA